AGGCAGUGGUAGUAGGAGUGCAAUUUCUAGGUCAAAAAGAAGGAAUGUAAUGGCUACUAGGAAAAAUUUUAUGGAAAAGGGCAACACAAGCUGUAUAGUGCAGAAGAAGAAGAAAAAAAGCCCAGAUUCUGGGCCCUGAGAGAGACAUAUGUCAUAGUGAGCUAGGACUGAAAAGUGAAGCAGUCAUAACUCUUGAGGCCGAAACAGUUAAUGAUAGUCAAGUUGUUUCCCAGCAUAUUAGGUUUGACCAAUAUCUCAUGUAAUACUUUGGCUUUAAUUUGGUUCCUGGCUCUCUUCAAAGUUCAUGAAAAUCUGUACAAUGAAUAUAAUUUUUAAAAGUGCCCAUUAAAAUGGUGAUGUUCAAUAAGAAUAUCUGUUAAUACUUAUCCUUUACAACAGCUGGUUCUCCAGUGGUUUCAAAUACUGUGUUUAAAACAGAAGCCACACUUAAAGCAAGGGGCAGUAAUUAGAAGGUUCUUGAGUAUCUGUUACCAGGGAAGGUUUGAAGGGACAGGACCCACAGCAAUCACAGGACACCCAGCAAGUGUUUGGUCCUUUCUUCUCUGGAGAGCACCACCAUUAAUGGGACAAAGUUUGAAGGAUUAUGCCUGUUGUUGCAAACCUUUGGGAGAGUGUGAUGCUCCUGGAGACAGGUAGCCACCCUAUCUCAAAGCAGAGCAGUUUUUCACAAGGUCAGUAAGCCACUGUCACCAUAGAAAUAGGUAAGUAAUACCUAUAGUCCUCAGGAUGUGCACACUUGGCAGGGCAAAGGCAGAGCAUCUCUCUUUGGGAAAGGGGAUACGCUCACAAGUACUAUUAGCCAUUGCGUCUCCUCCCCUCUGACCAGCGUAAUUCAGCCUGAGGGGAGUACAGAAGGAAGAUAGUGUACAGUGCAAGGCGGGCAGGCCUGGGUUAAGCACUUUAAAUACACGAUAUAAUCAAUGAUAGAAGGCUGCCAGUCCAGACUGUUCAAGACCUGUACUCAUGGCAUUAUCAAAACCCACCAUUUAGGGUACUGACAAUAAACUAUGGCACACCAUGAAUAGAUUCUUAGGCAGUAUUUUUAAAAAUACUGUACUAACUUGGAAAAUGUUCUUGAUAUAAAAAGAUUCUAUGGUGAUAGGACUAUGGGAAUUAAAACUUUGAAAUUAUAAAUUCAUCUUAAUUAGAUAAACACUACCACAUGCUAUAAAGCCUGACAUGUAAAAACACACUGUAAAGCUAAAAAAAACCUGACUUACUACCCACAAGCUAAGUCCUGCUUGCUCUAGGUAUGGGGAUACAUCAAUGAACAUGUAAACUCUGCUCUCAGCACUUAUGGUGACCUGAGGAUAAAACAGUUGUUUACAUGAAGUGGGCAGGGACCUGUGAAGAGCCAGGAAAUCUUAGGAAAAGUUUAAGCUUUUCUGUAGAUGGGGCUGGGGGCAGGUAUGAAGUCAAGAGAUAUAACUGCAUAUUUAUAUGCUUGUGAAAGUGCACAUCCACAUACAAAAGACUUUCACUAGGGCUUUACUUAGUCAUGGAACAUGUUUAUCUGGUCUCAAAAAACUCCUCCCACAACCCCCAGCAUAAUUAGGAACACCCUUUAACAGUUUCUGAAGACACUUUGAAAAUGGUGGUCUGAUUCCCUUAUAACUAGAACAUUGCUCUUGAUCAGAAACCCUCAAUAGCCUUUGCUUUGUCCCUCCAUAGAAGAUUCCUUCCAGCUGAGCUAUGGUUGGUCUGAGAUAGUACAGUAGACAGAAGAGAUGCUGAUGCUACUGGGAAUGUUAACCUAGGGUAACUCGUCAUUUUGAAUGGGUCUGCUACAGUCAAUCCAAUUUUGACCAAAUAGUACCUCAACAGGACUAUCUUGAAGAAGUCUUGAUCAGUCCGGAGAAUCUGUUUUGGAGAACGGACUUAAGAACUGGGGUUGAAACUGCCAAUCUGUCACCAAACUGUAAAAUCCCAUGUCUCCCGACUAAAGAAAUGAACAAAACACACAUACAUAGGCACAAAAGCGCUAAUUACACAAGAGGCACUGAUCCUUGGUUUAUUCACGCAGUAACAGCUGACAUUGGGAAUUGUGUGGAUAUAGAUACAAAAGAAGGAAGAUGAAAUAAACAGCAGUUGAGUUCAUCAGGGCAGUGUUGGCAGCUCAGCCAGCGUGUAGUCCCCCUCAGGACCUACUGGGUUGAGAAAGUGCUCUGCCCCCUCUACCACUUCUUGACCAAGGCACCUUAACAACACUUGGCCUAUACUUUGGGUCACAGUGAUCAAACACAACAUGGUCAAGACAUUCAAGGCUGAGUGACUGCUCCUGGAAUAGUCUGGCAACAAGAAAGAGGAAGGAGCAGCAUUAUGCCCUUACCCUCAGCAAGUGCGUGCAAGACAGAUCACAGCAGGCAUUUAAGAGGAUCUUUUCUCUUGUGCUCAGUGGAGAAA